GUUAGUGAGCACACUGCAUAUACUCGGAGGGUAUAAUAAAUCACAAUUAAAAAAACUAACAAAGCUGCAAUCAAGCAAAUUAGGAAAGACAAAUUAAAAUAAUAAUGCUGUAUGCUUUAGAUUCCAUUAGAUAAUAGGUAAAAGGGGCAGGCAGAAAUAUCAUAACCCCAACGGAGAGGAAGAGGAUGAGGAAGAACAGUAAGUAUGCAAGGAUGUACAACAAAAGAAUGUUAUUCUGAAGGCUUCCUUUUAUAUUAUGAAAAUUAAUUGUCAUAAUACAGAACAUAGGCCUAUUUAUAAUAAGUAAACUCGGAAAUGUGACUAAUACAUUUGUUAUAAAAGUAUUUUAUCAGCCAUCUGCCUCAUACAAUCUUUUGAAAUAAAGUAUAAUUCAAAUUAUUGAUAAAUCGUUUACUUGCUAUAAGGAUUACAAUUUAUAGAAUAAUUAUUUGACGUCAAUUGAGAAACGUGAGGUGUGAACUUUUAAUGAGUCUAACCUCGCCCGUAGGGGGUGUAAAUGCAGUGCACUGUUACACUGGCAAAUAUUAAAACGUCUUACUUAAAUUGCAACAAUUACCUUUCGACGGAAAUGUAAACACAUUUUUAUUGUGUACAACUAAUUGCAAGGCAGUAAUCUACUCAAGUUUCUCCCGUUUAAUUAGGCUAAGAUUUCUUUAUUAGAUCAAAUAAUUGCAACAGGUUCAAGUUUAACACAAUAGAGGGUACUAUUUUUAUCUUAACACGUAGAGGAGGAAAUAUGGCUCAAUAUCUCAUAUAAAAUAGAAAAAUAAGCCAUGAAUAUUAAAAAUCAAUAUGAUCCAUCGUCAACCUGCACAGCAUUCUAAUAAUAAACGGACUUACCAACGGGCACAGAAUCAAAGUUUUAGUGUGAGUGUGAACACUUAGAUUUGAGCCGCUUGUGAAGCUAUCCCACAUAUAACUGAUCAGUUUUGGGGUCAUAGGGGAUGUGCGUGUGCGUUAUGGGUGGAUAAUAACACACAUACAGAUGAGAAAUUAUGUCUUUGGCAUAUCGUCUUCCGAGAAAAUAAGUGUGGUAUUAUGUGAAUGCAAGUAGGCCUACAGUUGUUUUAUGUUUUACUGGGUUUUAGACAGUCCACCUUUUGACACCGCACUAAGUGCAAGUGAACUACGAAUAAACUAAUAAAGGAUUGCGGUGGCAAAUUAAUGGUGGAGUUAUUUUUUUUCUAUUGUAGAACAACUAUUCAAUCUAUUAACGCGCCAUUAAAAACCUCAUAUUUUGCUGUGAAUGAAAUCAAAAUUAGUAUUUACCUGUGAGGUCAUUUGAAAAAUAAUUUACCAUUAUUCCCACAUCAUAUAAUAUGCAACGUAUCAACUUGUAAUGUUUUGCAAGCUUUUGCAUAUGGACCGACGUGCUGCUGAACUAUUUCAGUGCCUGAUUGUGCACUAUGAUGCGAUUUUGAAAAGAAUGUACUACAAGGUCAGAAACAACAGACAGGACAGUAGCCUGACCAAGACACCAGCCAGGCGUGACUCUUCUUUCAACAUACCCAAACUAAACUAAACCAAAGAAAGGGGGGGAAAAAAAAACAGCUAGGACUAUUGGAUGCGGGGCAUAUCAUUUCAUGACACAGUUGUCAAAGAGAUAAGUUUAUCAGGGUCACCACAAAUCAAUAGAAACAGUUGCUGCACUUUAACUGGGUUGCUAUAGCGCGCCUUCAAAAUAAUAGCCCUACUCAACUUUUUAACCCGAUGGUGUCAAACCGACUGGGUAAUAGCGCAUACAGAGAAAACAUCUGGUGUGUUCCACCGGCAGCGACGGGUAGACUACGACAAAUAAAGCGCAUAAAACGAUAAGCGGUGUUAACACGUUGACUUACUUGGGUAUGCAUGGACUCUUGUCCCCUGGAAGUGAGAGAUACUACACGCUGCUCCCCCGGCGGUGCCUUCCACGCGAAUGUCACCUCGUUGAAGCCUCGGCUCUGGGGUUGAAUGGGGAUGGUGGACUUUGUGAAUGUGUGCAAAGAAGACGAUCUUAAAUCCAGGAACCCAACUCAAGAGAGGACGUCGACAGACCGAACCAAAAGUGGAGCUUUCAGUCCUGUGUGCUGCUGCCUUCACCUGCUGGUCAUACAUGAGAGGGGUCCUCGCCG
ensembl:lncRNA